CACCUCCAGUCUCCCCCGUUCAAAAAAGGACGCCAUUUGAACGUGCAUAUUACUGCACAAAAAUAUGCAAAAGCUUUAUGUGGGCCUCAACGUUCAUUGAGGGUAUUUUUCUAAAGCACGAAUAAGUUAUCUGAUGAUAUUUAUGCUUCAAAGACGUGAAAAACGAGCUGAGUUCGUUUAAAAUUGUUGGCUGACGUCCUGCUGCGAGUGAAGUAAGCAAGCAGAGACAGGAGAGAAGAGGCCUGAAGCUAAAUGACUACAAGUGCAAAGGGACAUUUUACCACUUGGAUAUUAUACAGUUUCCAUCCAUGGAGGAAGGAGGAGUAGACCCCAUUCAACUAAUAAAAGUGGUGUAGAAAUGACGGAUUGACUGAGUGUCUGUCUCUCCGUGGGAAAUGAGCCUGCUAAUGUGGCGAACUGGGCUUGUUCCAUAUUCAUCUGCAGGCCUGUGAAUCACUGUGCGACUACAGAGGCUGCCAUGUGCACGGAGGCACAUCUGCUUCCCUUCCAAAAGUCAAACGGAGCGCAAAAUGAGCGCAUCGAUCUUCAUACACCCUGCGCACCACAAAGUGAUAUUGAGAGGGGGACUGAUAUGGAGAUGGACAUUGAUUUGGAAUAAGAAAAAAAAUUAUAGAGGAAAGAUGCGUCCUAGUUCUUGAGGAAAGUCUCAGAGGAGAGGAGGGGAGUGAAAGUGAAAAUCAACUUUUGCUGAUGUUUUGACACUACCUAAUCCUUGGAAUUCCCUCCUCAGCCAAGGGGAGGGGUUCUCAAACUUUGCCAUGCCUAAGACCCUGAUUUAAUUCUUAAUUUCUGUCCUAAUUCUUAUUACAUCUGAAUAAUCUUA